GAGUUUGAUCAUGGCUCAGGAUGAACGCUGGCGGCGUGCCUAACACAUGCAAGUCGAACGGAGUUCUUAAGGAAUGCGGCUUCGGCCAAAUGACUUUUGACUUAGUGGCGGACGGGUGAGUAACGCGUGAGCAACCUGCCUUUCAGAGGGGGAGUAACAUUUGGUAACGAAGAUGCUAAUAACCGCCAUAAGAUUACAGUACGCAUGAUACAGUGAUC
rnacentral:rRNA from 1 species